GCCCGAGUGGCGGAAUGGUAGACGCGAACGACUCAAAAUCGUUUGACCCGAAAGGUCGUGUGGGUUCGACUCCCACCUCGGGCA
rnacentral:tRNA from 1 species